rnacentral:rRNA from 3 species
AGACCCGAAACCCGGUGAUCUAGCCAUGGGCAGGUUGAAGGUUGGGUAACACUAACUGGAGGACCGAACCGACUAAUGUUGAAAAAUUAGCGGAUGACCUGUGGCUGGGGGUGAAAGGCCAAUCAAACCGGGAGAUAGCUGGUUCUCCCCGAAAGCUAUUUAGGUAGCGCCUCGUGAAUUCAUCUCCGGGGGUAGAGCACUGUUUCGGCUAGGGGGCCAUCCCGGCUUACCAACCCGAUGCAAACUGCGAAUACCGGAGAAUGUUAUCACGGGAGACACACGGCGGGUGCUAACGUCCGUCGUGAAGAGGGAAACAACCCAGACCGCCAGCUAAGGUCCCAAAGUCAUGGUUAAGUGGGAAACGAUGUGGGAAGGCCCAGACAGCCAGGAUGUUGGCUUAGAAGCAGCCAUCAUUUAAAGAAAGCGUAAUAGCUCACUGGUCGAGUCGGCCUGCGCGGAAGAUGUAACGGGGC